rnacentral:rRNA from 1 species
CUAUCCGGCUCGGGGAAUGGAGGGGAGACUGGAAUACUUGUGUAGCAGUGAAAUGCGUAGAUAUCAAGUGACACCAGUGCGAAGCGAGUCUCUGGACAUUUCUGACACUGAGGCACGAAGCUAGGGAGCAAACAGGAUUAGAUACCCUGGUAGUCCACGCCUUAAACGAUGGAUGUUCGGUGUCGGUCCGCAAGGAUCGGUGCCUGAGCUAACGCGUUAAACAUCCCACCUGGGGAGUACGAUCGCAAGGUUGAAACUCAAAGGAAUUGACGGGGGCCCGCACAAGCAGUGGAGCAUGUGGUUCAAUUCGAUGCAACGCGAAGAACCUUACCUGGGUUUGAAAGGCAAGUGACCGUCGAUGAAAGUCGAUCUGGUAGCAAUACCCACUUGUACAGGUGCUGCAUGGCUGUCGUCAGCUCGUGCCGUGAGGUGUUAGGUUAAGUCCUGCAACGAGCGCAACCCCUGCACUUAGUUGCCAUCAGGUAAUGCUGGGCACUCUAAGUGGACUGCCUACGCAAGUAGUGAGGAAGGCGGGGAUGACGUCAAGUCCUCAUGGCCCUUACACCCAGGGCCACACACGUGCUACAAUGGUUGGUACAAAGGGCUGCUAAGCCGCAAGGUGGAGCCAAUCCCAAAAAACCAACCUCAGUUCGGAUUGGGGUCUGCAACUCGACCCCAUGAAGCUGGAAUUGCUAGUAAUCGCGGAUCAGCACGCCGCGGUGAAUACGUUCCCGGGCCUUGUACACACCGCCCGUCAAGCCAUGGAAACUGGGGGUACCCGAAACCGCUAUGUUAACCGCAAGGAGACAGGCGUCUAAGGUAAAACCAGCGACUGGGCUAAGCGACAGGCCGUGUCGCCUAAAUUUUC